AGGCCAUGAUGCGGGCAAGCUCUUAAAAGGUCUUUAUAUCUCUCCCAGGCUUCGAAAAGUGAUUCUCCUUGGUUUUAAGUAAAUCUAGUGAUCAAGUUUUUAAGGAC